rnacentral:misc_RNA from 1 species
AUAAAUGUGAUUAGCAAGACCGUAAGGUCUUGCUAAACUUGUAUUUAAAACCUUCACUCUUGUAAAAACAAUAUAUUUUUUAUUAUAAAAAAUAAAAAGA